CGGGAUCCUCCUACGGGAGGCAGCAGUGGGGAAUAUUGCACAAUGGGCGCAAGCCUGAUGCAGCCAUGCCGCGUGUAUGAAGAAGGCCUUCGGGUUGUAAAGUACUUUCAGCAGUGAGGAAGGCAGGUACGUUAAUAGCGUGCUUGUUUGACGUUAGCUGCAGAAGAAGCACCGGCUAACUCCGUGCCAGCAGCCGCGGUAAUACGGAGGGUGCGAGCGUUAAUCGGAAUUACUGGGCGUAAAGCGCAUGCAGGUGGUUUGUUAAGUCAGAUGUGAAAGCCCGGGGCUCAACCUCGGAAUUGCAUUUGAAACUGGCAGACUAGAGUACUGUAGAGGGGGUAGAAUUUCAGGUGUAGCGGUGAAAUGCGUAGAGAUCUGAAGGAAUACCGGUGGCGAAGGCGGCCCCCUGGACAGAUACUGACACUCAGAUGCGAAAGCGUGGGGAGCAAACAGGAUUAGAUACCCUGGUAG
rnacentral:rRNA from 1 species